UGCGGAAGGAUCAUUAAAA
rnacentral:rRNA from 1 species